rnacentral:tRNA from 1 species
AAGGCCUUAGCUUAAAUAAAAGCGGCUGAGUUGCAAUCAGGAGAUGUAAUUGGUUUUACAGGUCUUC